UACGUAGGGUGCAAGCGUUGUCCGGAAUUAUUGGGCGUAAAGAGCUCGUAGGCGGUCUGUCGCGUCGGUCGUGAAAACUUGGGGCUUAACCCUGAGCUUGCGGUCGAUACGGGCAUGACUGGAGUUCGGCAGGGGAGACUGGAAUUCCUGGUGUAGCGGUGAAAUGCGCAGAUAUCAGGAGGAACACCGGUGGCGAAGGCGGGUCUCUGGGCCGAUACUGACGCUGAGGCGCGAAAGCGUGGGGAGCGAACAGG
rnacentral:rRNA from 1 species